rnacentral:rRNA from 1 species
GAUGAACGCUGGCGGCGUGCCUAAUACAUGCAAGUCGAGCGAACGGACGAGAAGCUUGCUUCUCUGAUGUUAGCGGCGGACGGGUGAGUAACACGUGGAUAACCUACCUAUAAGACUGGGAUAACUUCGGGAAACCGGAGCUAAUACCGGAUGAUAUUUUGAACCGCAUGGUUCAAAAGUGAAAGACGGUCUUGCUGUCACUUAUAGAUGGAUCCGCGCUGCAUUAGCUAGUUGGUAAGGUAACGGCUUACCAAGGCAACGAUGCAUAGCCGACCUGAGAGUGUGAUCGGCCACACUGGAACUGAGACACGGUCCAGACUCCUACGGGAGGCAGCAGUAGGGAAUCUUCCGCAAUGGGCGAAAGCCUGACGGAGCAACGCCGCGUGAGUGAUGAAGGUCUUCGGAUCGUAAAACUCUGUUAUUAGGGAAGAACAUAUGUGUAAGUAACUGUGCACAUCUUGACGUUACCUAAUCAGAAAGCCACGGCUAACUACGUG